GAUGAACGCUGGCGGCAUGCCUAAUACAUGCAAGUCGAACGAGAGGAAGGAAAGCUUGCUUUCCUGAAUCUAGUGGCGAACGGGUGAGUAACACGUAGGUAACCUGCCCAUGUGCCCGGGAUAACUUCUGGAAACGGAUGCUAAAACCGGAUAGGUAGCAGACAAGCAUUUGACUGCUAUUAAAGUGGCCUUGGCCAUGAACAUGGAUGGACCUGCGGUGCAUUAGCUGGUUGGUGAGGUAACGGCCCACCAAGGCGACGAUGCAUAGCCGGCCUGAGAGGGCGGACGGCCACAUUGGGACUGAGACACGGCCCAAACUCCUACGGGAGGCAGCAGUAGGGAAUUUUCGUCAAUGGGGGGAACCCUGAACGAGCAAUGCCGCGUGAGUGAGGAAGGUCUUCGGAUCGUAAAGCUCUGUUGUAAGAGAAAAACGGCACUCAUAGGGAAUGAUGAGUGAGUGA
rnacentral:rRNA from 1 species